GCACCGCACCGUUCCGCGCGGGGCAGAGCGGAGCCGCAACCCCACGCGCCGCCCAGGACCCACUCGCCAUCGCCGCCUCCGCAGCACCCAUGGGGACCAGGAGACUUUAAAGGAGUUUGGGGUUUCGGGAGCAGGGAAAUCACGGAUCCCCGCUCCUGGCCCUCGCUUCGCCGCGUCAUUGAUGGGCAACCAACUGGACCGCAUCACCCACCUCAACUACAGCGAGUUGCCCACAGGGGACCCGUCGGGGAUCGAGAAGGACGAGCUGCGGGUCGGGGUCGCCUACUUCUUCUCGGAUGAGGAGGAGGACCUGGACGAACGCGGCCAGCCCGACAAGUUUGGCGUGAAGGCCCCUCCGGGCUGCACUCCCUGCCCGGAGAGCCCCAGCCGCCACCACCACCACCUGCUGCACCAGCUGGUCCUCAACGAAACUCAGUUCUCCGCCUUCCGGGGCCAGGAAUGCAUCUUCUCCAAAGUGAGCGGCGGCCCUCAGGGCGCCGACCUGAGCGUCUACGCUGUCACAGCGCUGCCCGCGCUCUGCGAGCCCGGCGACCUGCUGGAGCUGCUGUGGCUGCAGCCGGCGCCGGAGCCGCCCGCCCCGCACUGGGCCGUCUACGUGGGUGGCGGGCAGAUCAUCCACCUGCACCAAGGCGAGAUCCGCCAGGACAGCCUGUACGAGGCGGGCGCGGCCAACGUGGGCCGGGUGGUGAAUAGCUGGUACCGCUACCGCCCGCUGGUGGCCGAGCUGGUGGUGCAGAACGCCUGCGGCCACCUGGGCCUCAAGAGCGAGGAGAUCUGCUGGACGAACUCGGAGAGCUUCGCCGCCUGGUGCCGCUUUGGCAAGCGGGAGUUCAAGGCGGGAGGGGAGGUGCCGGCCGGCACGCAGCCCCAGCAGCAGUACUAUCUCAAGGUGCACCUGGGCGAGAACAAGGUGCACACGGCCAGGUUUCACAGCCUGGAAGACCUCAUCCGCGAGAAGCGCCGCAUCGACGCCUGCGGUCGCCUGCGAGUGCUCCAGGAGCUCGCCGACUUCGUGGACGACAAGGAGUAGCCUUGUGGGGGGCCUCCCGCUCCUCUCGUCUCCCCGCGCCCCGCUCCCUUCCCCGCACCCGGGCCUCGCGGCCGGCGAUCCACAACCCCCGCCCCUUCGAGCGCCCUCCUGCGGCGGCCAGUGCCCAGGCUGCACCCUCGCACCCCUCCGGCAAGUGGCAGGAAGUCUCAGGAACUGGCCCCGGGACCAAAGGGCAGCUGUGCGCGCCUGGCGGAGCCCCCCGGUGUGGUGACGGUGUUGGGAAGCCCAGCGUGCGCUUUCCCCUUGAGCUGUAACGGGGGAAGGAGAAAGGGCUGAGGGGAGCAGGGUCGUGGCUUUUCCCGCGGGUCACUAGUCCGUAACUGUCACCCGACCUACUGUAAAGGGAACCAUCACCGCCCCCAAACGCGCACACACAGACCAGUCGGAGGACAUCCAACAAUGAAGGAAAGAAAAUUCAACAUAAGGGCUGCUCCUCAGAAGACUGACCUUGAGAUAUGGGCAAAUCAGCCAAGUUACCGUAGGCUGGGCUGCUUGGUGUUCUCUUUUCAGAGAAGCUGGAGGAAAUGGUUGAGGAAAAGAGCAAUUUACAAUGUAGGGGUUAAUCAUCUGAAAUCAUUAAAAUCAUCCAUUAAGGAAAUAAAGAAUGUGGUUCUUAGAGUGGAUAGUUAAAUAUGUUUUGAAAAUCUUUCUUGUUGAACCAACAGAAAAUGUCUCUAAUGGUAAAAACCAAGAAGGAGAGAGGUGGAGAAGAAGUGUAAGGGUUAGAAAGGAAACAAAUAAUUAUAAAGGAUUAGAGAUGCAGAAUAUAUCAACAUUCUGGUAUUUACAAAAUUGAUCAACCUUAAACAUAGUAAAUUCUUUAAGGACAUAGGUGUCUUUUCUCAUACUUCCUGUCUGCUGUCACUGCCAUAAGAGGAAAAGACAGAGAGGCUCCUGCACUCAGAAUUGGUUACUGAUGCAACAUGAAGUAUGUGGUGGGUUCUCUUUGGCUGCCUGGGUGAGAAGAACAAAGUCUCUGCCCUCAUGGAGCUCACAUUGGGGAGACAAACAAUAAGUGAAUAAACAAACAUAUACAAUAUGAUGCCAAAUGCCCAUAAGUGCAAGAAACAAUAAUAAAGCAUGAAAAAGGUACUGUGAGUGACAGGGCAUGGGAAAUGUGCUAUUUUCGGAUGAAUGGUGGGGGCAUGCCUCUCUGACAAAUUGAUAUUUAAACAGAGUUUUGAAUAAAGUGACAGAGAGGGUAUCUAGAGGAAGACCUUUCCAAAUUGAGGGAACAGCAACUGCAGAGGCCCUGAGGAUGGAUAGAACUAGAUUCUUUCAAGGGUGGAUGACAGACAUGUCAUGGGAAGGCUGCCACUCUCCCCCGUUCUGCCGAGGAAAGACAGACAACACAGGUUUGGACCCUGCACUUCUCACUGGGCUAGUACAGCCUCAGAAUCCUUCUGAACCCAAUACUCUGAUAAAUUAGUGAUAGGUAAGAGUAAGUGCAGGGAUCAAAGCCAUUUGUUAUCACUGCCUUAGAGUUUAGUCUUCUAAAUUUUAGCCCAUAAUGCUGUCUUCAGCUCCAAUGAUUUUCGUGUCACUGAUAUUGCCUCCCACUGUGUGGGGUUGGAAGAAGCAUAAUGGCCAGGAAAACCUCAUUGCCAAGGAUACCUUUACUAAUAUUUACUACUAAAGUGAAAAUAUUGAGAAGCCACGCUACCGACGGCCCACUCUGCUCUGCUCACUAGGCCCACUGGCCCGCGCCCAUCAUGGCCACCAUUCAGCAACUGGUAGGAAGAUGGUGCUUAGUGGAAAGCAAAGGCUUUGACAAAUACAUGAAGCAAGUAGAAGUGGGAAUGGCCAAACCAGAUUGUAUCAUCUCUCUUUUUUUUUUAAAGAUUUUAUUUAUUUAUUUGAGAGAGAGAAUGAGAUAGAGAGCAUGAGAGGGGGGAGGGUCAGACGGAGAAGCAGACUCCCUGCUGAGCAGGGAGCCCGAUGCGGGACUCGAUUCCGGGACUCCAGGAUCAUGACCUGAGCCGAAGGCAGUCGCCUAACCAACUGAGCCACCCAGGCGCCCUGUAUCAUCUCUUCUGACGGCAAAAACCUCACCAUAAAAACUGAGAGCACUUUGAAAAUAACACAGUUUUCAUGUAACCUGGGAGAGGAGUUUGAAGAAACUACAGCUGAUGGCAGAAAAACUCAGACUGUCUGAAGCUUCACAGACAGCGCAUUGGUUCAACAUCAGGAAUGGGAUGGGAAGGAAAGCACAAUCACAAGAAAAUUGGAAAAUGGGAAAUUAGUGGUGGAAUGCAUCAUGAAUAAUGUCACCUGUACUCAGGUCUAUGAAAAAGUAGAGUAAAAAUUCCAUCGUUAUUGUGGACAGGAAUUAGCUGUGAGGAUGAACAAGCUCAGUUCAAUGAGCAAAUCUCCAUACUGCUUUUUUUUUCAUUACUGUGUUCAAUUAUCUUUAUCACAAACAUUUUACAUGCAUCUAUUUCAAAGUGUUGAUUUAAUUAGGAUCAUCCCUUUGGUUAGUAAAUAAAUUUGUGCUAAAAAAAAUAAAA